rnacentral:lncRNA from 1 species
UGAAUCUGUGCUUUGGCUUGCCUUGCUUGUGUGCUUUGUUCAAUUCUUUGUUCUAAAUGCCAAGAACCUGGACAACUACCCUCAACCAGUAACAUGUUUUGGCAAGCCAGCCAGGAGACCAUCAAGCUUCAGAUGACCAGGCAACAAAGCUUCCAGCAAGUUCCAAAUGAAGAUAAUACCCCUGGCCAUCAAGAAACUAUCCUGUUUCUACUAGACAGAGCAUGGAAAGAGUCCCGUGAUCCCCACUAGCAGAAGAACCUCAAGGCCCAGAUGAUAGAUGAUAGUAUCAGACUGGCUCCUGGAUGCAAAGAGCUGCUUUUUUCUUUGUCACCUUUAACAGCACCUGAGGCUGUUGUGAUAUCCUGCAUGGACAAGGAAAUGAUGUUCAUCUAAUACACCCACUUGGGAACACUUUGAUGCCAUUGGCUAUGAUUGUCUUUCUGUUUUCCCUACCCCCAUCUCUA